GAUGAACGCUAGCGGCAGGCCUAACACAUGCAAGUCGAGGGGUAACUAGAGUGAUAGCAAUAUUACUUUGGCUAGACCGGCGCACGGGUGCGUAACACGUAUGCAACCUACCUUAUACUGGGGAAUAACUUCGAGAAAUCGGCGCUAAUACCCCAUACCAUUGCGAAGAGGCAUCUCUUUGCAAUUAAAGCUCCGGCGGUAUAAGAUGGGCAUGCGUCCAAUUAGCUAGUUGGUGAGGUAACGGCUCACCAAGGCUACGAUUGGUAGGGGUUCUGAGAGGAUGAUCCCCCACACUGGUACUGAGACACGGACCAGACUCCUACGGGAGGCAGCAGAGAGGAAUAUUGCGCAAUGGACGAAAGUCUGACGCAGCCAUGCCGCGUGCAGGAUGACGGCCCUAUGGGUUGUAAACUGCUUUUGUACGGGAAUAAACCCUUCUACGUGUAGGAGGCUGAAGGUACCGUAAGAAUAAGCACCGGCUAACUCCGUGCCAGCAGCCGCAGUAAUAC
rnacentral:rRNA from 1 species